CAUACUGGGCUCCACGCCUCCUGUCUUCUUUACCUGAUCCACGGGACCCCUCAACUUUCCUGUAAGGGAGGCUCUAUUACCCCGUUUUUCAGAGAGGAGAGGCCCCGCCUCUUCCAGAACCUCCUGCUCUUCCUGUGGGCCCUGCUGAACUGCAGUUUGGGGGUCAGUGCUCAGUAGGGUCCGGGCGAGUGGACCCCGUGGGUGUCCUGGACCCGCUGCUCCAGCUCCUGCGGGCGUGGCGUCUCCGUGCGCAGCCGGCGCUGCCUCCGGCUUCCUGGGGAAGAACCGUGCUGGGGAGACUCCCACGAGUACCGCCUCUGCCAGUUGCCAGACUGCCCCCCAGGGGCUGUGCCCUUCCGAGACCUACAGUGUGCCCUGUACAAUGGCCGCCCUGUCCUGGGCACCCAGAAGACCUACCAGUGGGUGCCCUUCCAUGGGGCGCCCAACCAGUGUGACCUCAACUGCCUGGCUGAGGGGCACGCCUUCUACCACAGCUUCGGCCGAGUCCUGGACGGCACCGCCUGCAGCCCGGGUGCCCAGGGGGUCUGCGUGGCUGGCCGCUGCCUUAGCGCCGGCUGUGAUGGGUUGCUGGGCUCGGGUGCCCUCGAGGACCGCUGCGGCCGCUGCGGAGGCGCCAACGACUCGUGCCUUUUUGUGCAGCGCGUGUUUCGUGACGCCGGUGCCUUCGCUGGGUACUGGAACGUGACCCUGAUCCCCGAGGGCGCCAGACACGUCCGCGUGGCGCACCGGAGCCGCAACCACCUGGCGCUGAUGGGGGGCGAUGGCCGCUACGUGCUUAAUGGGGACUGGACGGUCAGCCCACCGGGGACCUACGAGGCGGCCGGCACGCAUGUGGUCUACACCCGCGACACAGGGCCCCAGGAGACAUUGCAAGCAGCCGGGCCUACCUCCCACGACCUGCUCCUACAGGUCCUCUUGCAGGAGCCCAACCCUGGCAUCGAGUUUGAGUUCUGGCUCCCUCGGGAGCGCUACAGCCCCUUCCAGGCUCGUGUGCAGGCCCUGGGCUGGCCCCUGAGGCAGCCGCAGCCCCGGGGGGUGGAGCCUCAGCCCCCCGCAGCCCCUGCUGUCACCCCUGCACGGACCCCAACCCUGGCCCCAGGCCCGAGUGCUGGGCCGCCACCGCCAGGCCCAGGAGACCCGCUAUGAGGUGCGCAUCCAGCUCGUCUACAAGAACCGCUCGCCACUGCGGGCACGCGAGUACGUGUGGGCGCCAGGCCACUGCCCCUGCCCGAUGCUGGCACCCUACCGGGACUACCUGAUGGCUGUCCAGCGUCUUGUCAGCCCCGACGGCACACAGGACCAGCUGCUGCUGCCCCACGCCGGCUACGCCCGGCCCUGGAGCCCUGCGGAGGACAGCCGCAUACGCCUGACUGCCCGGCGCUGUCCUAGCUGAGCCCCCGCAGGAGCCCUGGCCACACACAGCAAGAAAGAUACAUCUGACCAGUCUCAACGUCAACGUAUUUCCCCUCUCACCCUGGCUUCCAGGCAGCUCUGAAAUAUGUCCCACCUGUGCAGCUACGUGACUCCCUCCCGCACACGCU
rnacentral:sRNA from 1 species